UACGGGGGGGGUAAGCGUUGUUCGGAAUUACUGGGCGUAAAGGGCUCGUAGGCGGCCAACUAAGUCAUACGUGAAAUCCCUCAGCUUAACUGGGGAACUGCGUGUGAUACUGGAUGGCUUGGAUUCGGGAGAGGGAUGCGGAAUUCCAGGUGUAGCGGUGAAAUGCGUAGAUAUCUGGAGGAACACCGGUGGCGAAGGCGGCGUUCUGGACUGCAACUGACACUGAGGAACGAAAGCCAGGGGAGCAAACGGG
rnacentral:rRNA from 1 species